UUAUGAUGUAUAAUACAGAUGUUUAUUAAAAACUGUUUUGUUUUUUGCAUAUAUAUGUUGUAAUUUGAAUUUUUCAAAACGGACAUAUAAUAUACAACUCAUAGAGAAAUUAAGUGUAUGUACAACAUCUCACAUCGAUUAUAAUUUUUUUUUUCACAAUAUGUACUUUAGAUCAUUAUAAAUAUUAUUAACAUGUUUCUAACUACGAAUGUGCAGAAAGCUUGAUUUAUCGGACGUGCACUUUUUAAAGUUUGAUUCAUUUUAAUAUGGUCCUAAUUUUUAUUGAAGUUUGGCGUUACAUUAUUAGUUAUUGAUUUGUAAAAAGUCAUUUAAAUCUUUAUACAUAUGGGGUUAUUUAAUUCAGAAUUUUAUGAAGUCAUUAAACUUUUUUUUAUUCAAUUAAUACAAAAAAAUCUUUGGUUGUUAAUGAAUCAAAUUCUUAUGUCAUUGGUUUAAAUUUUACAUAUUUUUUACAAAAUAAAGUCUUAAAAAGUAUAAUCAAAUCAGAGAUUUUUAUUCUGUUUGGUUUAGUUCAGUUUUGUUUACUUUUCUUUUGUCAAAAAAAAAAAAAGGUGUAAAAAAGGUGUUCAGUUUUGUUUACUAUAUAGUCAUAUUUUAUUUAUCUAGAGGUAAAAAGGUGUAAAUUUUUUAGCAAAGUUUAUAUCAAAAAAUUUUUGGAGGAAUUUCAAAAAUACCCUUUUUCCUAUACCACUUUUUAGAAAAUAACCCUCUUUCUAAUUUAUCAAAAGCCACUAAAAAUUUGAAAUUUAUCAAAAAAAAUAUGUGUAAGCAUAUACUUAUAGAGAAAAAAUUAUCUUUAUAAAUACUAUAUAAAUACCUUUUAAGAACCUUUUAAAAAUCAUUUAAAACGUUAUAAAAACUUUGUAAACCUUUUAAAAAUCAUUUCAAAACCUUACAAAAACUUUGUAAACUUUUUAAAAACCUUAUAAAUUCCGUUUAGAACCUUUUAAAACCUUAUAAAUAUUUG
rnacentral:lncRNA from 1 species